ensembl:snoRNA small nucleolar RNA SNORA55
GCAUCUGUGUCUUUCCCACUCCUUGCAAUACAGUCCUGGACUGGGGAUACAUGGUGCAACAGGAAGGCACAGGAAAUCCAGACAAGUUCCCUUUCACCACAGUGGGAGCUGUCUCUACGCCUUUGCAACAUUU